CGCCAUUUUGUCUCCGUCAGGCGCGGCGCGGGUUGUCGGGGCGAGGUGGGCGAGCUGGUGUCUGGCGAGGGGGAUUCGGCCCGCAUCUCACGAUGAUAUCGGCCGCCCAGCUCCUCGAUGAGCUCAUGGGCAGGGACAGGAACCUGGCCCCGGAUGAAAAGCGCAGCAACGUGCGGUGGGACCACGAGAGUGUUUGCAAAUACUAUCUUUGUGGCUUUUGCCCAGCUGAGUUAUUUACAAACACCCGUUCUGAUUUAGGUCCUUGUGAAAAAAUUCAUGAUGAAAAUCUACGCAAACAGUAUGAGAAGAGCUCUCGAUUCAUGAAGGUGGGCUAUGAGAGGGAUUUCCUGCGCUAUUUGCAGAGCUUGCUUGCAGAGGUGGAGCGCAGGAUCCGCAGGGGCCACGCUCGCCUGGCCCUCUCACAGAACCAGCAGUCCUCUGGGGGAGGUGGACCUACCGGUAAAAACGAGGAGAAGAUUCAGGUGUUAACUGACAAAAUUGAUGUACUGCUUCAACAGAUUGAAGAACUAGGUUCAGAAGGAAAGGUGGAAGAAGCACAAGGAAUGAUGAAACUUGUUGAACAGUUAAAGGAAGAGAGAGAACUGCUGAGGUCUACGACUUCAACAAUUGAGAGCUUUGCAGCCCAGGAAAAACAAAUGGAAGUUUGUGAAGUUUGUGGAGCCUUUUUAAUUGUAGGAGAUGCACAGUCCAGGGUAGAUGACCACUUAAUGGGAAAGCAGCACAUGGGUUAUGCCAAAAUAAAAGCUACUGUAGAAGAUUUAAAAGAAAAGUUACGAAAAAGAACAGAAGAGCCUGACCGUGAUGAAAGGUUGAAAAAAGAGAAGCUAGAACGAGAAGAGAGGGAGAAAGAGAGGGAGCGGGAACGAGAAGAGCGGGAAAGGAAGAGACGACGUGAGGAGGAGGAAAAGGAGAAAGAGAGGGCUCGUGACAGAGAGAGGCGUAAAAGGAGCCGCUCCCGGAGCAGGCAUUCCAGCAGGACAUCUGACAGGAGGUGCAGCCGCUCACGAGACCACAAAAGGUCAAGAAGCAGAGAAAGAAGACGAAGCAGGAGUCGUGAUCGGAAGAGAAGCAGAAGCCACGAUAGAUCAGAAAGGAAACACAGGUCUCGGAGUAGGGACAGGAGACGGUCAAAAAGCCGGGAUCGAAAAUCCUACAAGCACAGAAGCAAAAGCAGAGAGAGAGAACAAGACAGGAAGUCAAAAGAAAAAGGACAGAAGAUAAGAUUAUUGGACUGACUACUAGUCCUCUGCGGGGAAACAAGACUACUAUUCCUCAGUGGAUCCACGUGUGCACCGGAGAUACCUUUAAGGCACAAAAAGAAGACUUUGUAACAAGAAAAGAGGGGAUCUGAUGAUAAAAAAAGUAGUGUGAAGUCCAGUAGUCGAGAAAAACAGAGUGAAGACACAAAUACAGACUCGAAGGAGAGUGAGACUAAGAAUGAGGUCAAUGGGACCAAUGAAGACAUUAAAUCUGAAGGUGACACUCAGUCCAAUUAAAACUGAUCUGAUAUGACCUCAGAUCAGACAGAGGACUACUAUGUGAAGAGUCUGCGAAGAUAGUGGAAGACAGCUUAAACUGAAGAUCUGCUUUUAAAUGAGGUGAAAGAAAGCUGUAGUGGCAUAGAAAAAUAUAAAGUUGAGUUAGAUUUUUUUUUAAUAAAAUUUAAUUCAGGACUGGUGUUUCCUCCCAGAGUUCAAAAAGAUGUGUUGAUAAUAGCACAUAUGCUACUGAGAAUAUAAGUCCUGUAUCCUUCUUUUUCUUUAAGACUUUUUAAGAUAAGAAACCAACAUAACCUGAACACAUGGCUUGCUCAGUGUUUAAUUGCAAGUUUUCAUUCUUGGACUUUAAAACACAAGAAUAAAUGUUUAGUAUUUGUGUGAAUUGAACUAAAAUGAAUCCCAUUUUUACAACUAAGCAAUUCCUAGCUUCUUGAUAUAUGAGAAAUGGAAAUAAAGUAUCUUUGAAUUUCUGUUACAAAUUUGAUUGUCUCUGUCAUUGAACAUUUAAUAUUAAAUAAGCUUCUUUCCUAAUAAA